CCUACGGGAGGCAGCAGUGGGGAAUAUUGCGCAAUGGGCGAAAGCCUGACGCAGCGACGCCGCGUGAGGGAUGAAGGUCUUCGGAUCGUAAACCUCUGUCAGCAGGGAAGAACGGUCACUGUGCUAAUCAGCAGUGAAUUGACGGUACCUGCAAAGGAAGCACCGGCUAACUCCGUGCCAGCAGCCGCGGUAAUACGGAGGGUGCGAGCGUUAAUCGGAAUUACUGGGCGUAAAGCGCUCGUAGGCGGUAUGUCAAGUCAAGGGUGAAAUCCCCGCGCUCAACGUGGGAACUGCCUUUGAAACUGGCAAACUGGAGUGUGUGAGAGGAUAGUGGAAUACCAGGAGUAGGAGUGAAAGCCGUAGAUAUCUGGAGGAACAUCAGUGGCGAAGGCGACUAUCUGGCACAUAACUGACGCUGAGGAGCGAAAGCGUGGGUAGCAAACAGGAUUAGAUACCCUUGUAGUC
rnacentral:rRNA from 1 species